rnacentral:lncRNA from 1 species
UUCACAUCUCUUGUACUUGGGCUUUGUGGAACAUUUUCAAGCUUUGGGUCUAUAGUUUUCUUCAAACUUGGAAAAUUUUUGGCAUUAGUUUCUUCAAAUAAUUUUUUGUCACCUACUCUCUUUCAGAAGCUCAAAUUACAUGAGUAUUGGGCCAUUUGAAGUUGUCCCACAGCUCUUUUAAUUUUUAGUAAGCCUCUGCCUCUGGACUGUGAACUUCACAAGUGUUUCUUAGUUUUUUUCUCCUCCCUCCUCUUUAGGUGGGACAGGAUGGCUGGAGUGGGCUGGAGUUGGGUAUUUCCCUUCCUUCAGGUCAGUUAGGCUCUAAUAAUAUCCACCUGGUUAGGCUCUGUUAACUAGUUUCUCUUGAGGGCAGGCCUUAUUAAGAAGAGUGCUCUGGGAUGUUUAAAAAUGGUUCCUUUUCCUCUCUCCAUUCUAGACGUCUGAUGAGAUUUUUGUCAGCUAUUUACUGUGAGAACCUGGACGAGCUCCUGGAGGAAGAUCAAAGUGGUGUUUAGAGAAUGAUCAUGAAGUGAAUGCUGACUCCUUUCACGCCGUGACGAGUGUGAUGACUAAACAGGGGAGAAGACACUGAGUGCUGGGAGAGCAGUUUGUUUUAGAGAUGCUGUUGACAUAGGAGGAAAAUACAUUAUGAAACAGAAGACGAAGAAACUGAAGCAGAAGGAAGGUAAAUGACUUACCUCAGGUCACACAGCUAAGGAGUGGGUAAGCUGGAAUCUGAACCCAGGAACCCUGGCUGCUCUGGAGCGAUUGAUACCCAGGAUAUGGUGAAGAAAGCCACUAUUCCAAUUUCCAGUUCCAGUUCCCUUCACACCCAGAUGUGCUUUGUUUCUUAUCUUGGAUUUUGUGCGGGUGUAUGUUAUAUGAUACAGCCUCCUUUUGUUGACCUAAUUUAAAUACACUUACAUUUGUUUCAUCAAAAAUAGCCUUAAUGAGACCUGCCAAAUUUUACUUAAAAAAAAAGUUCUAAUGUACCCUCUAAUUGGAAUGCCUUUUCCACCAUAUUUAUCUGUUGAAAUUGUACUAAUACUUCAUGAUCUAGCUCAAGUACUGCUUAUUUGUGGCUUUUCUGAAUUCCAGCUCCAAAUUAGCAUUGUUUUUCCUCCUCUUUGUUCUUAGUGCACUUCUCAGUCUAUUCAAGGACUUGAGAAUUUCUAGUUUUGAUAUUGUAAGUUCUGUACAUAUUUUCCAUAAUAUUACUUUGAACCAUAUGAAAUUGUCAACCUUCAAGUAUUUUCAAUUUAGGAAAAUGGCAAUUUCAUGUGGUUCAAUUUAAUAUAUUGGAAGGAAACUGAUUGACCCAGAGGUAGCUUAAUGAUCUUUUCACCCUGAAUAUCUGGUAGAUAGUAAGGUCUCAAUAAAUUUUGAUGGAAUUAACUAUUUCUGAGGAAUAAAAUCUUAGUAACUUGGCAGAAUUUUCCCCAAAUAUUCUCCUGGGGAUAAUAAAGUGUUCAGUAGAAGAAAUCCACCAUUCUCCCUGUUUUCUACUUCUGACAUUGUGUCCAUUUCCCCUACCCCCCCCCAAAAAAACCCCUAAAAGUAGUUAUUCAGUGUUCUGUGUGUGGAUAACCAAAACUGGAGACUUUAAUUUGUCUGCACAAGAUAAAACAAGUUCACAUUUACUAAAAGUACAUUUAUAAGGAUUUUUGAACUGUUGUUUUCUAGUAGUGUCCUGGUAAAUGGGUCAGAUUAUUACAAAUAAACAAGGUCCCAGUCUCUGAAGUUUAUGGAAUAGUGAGGGACCGCAUAUAAGUGCAGUUCUUGGAAAGGUCAGAAGAAUGGCACUUAUCAUGGGAGAUUUCACAAAGAAGUGGCUGAGUAGGAGUUAGUCAGAACUGGAAGGAAUAUGGGGUGUUGUCUUGCAUAAUAUUAUAGGCAGAGUGAAUAAAGAGCUUAUGAAAGCUUGGGAGAGUUGCAAAUAGAACCAUGUAGAUAGAAUAUAUGGGAUGCAGGGUGAGUUGGGGGAAAUGACAAAGAGGAGUCACUUGAACAUUUUAUGUAGGGUAUUAACAUUGCCAGAUUUGUGCUUUCUAAAGGUAAAAAAGAAAUGAGAAUGUAGAAACUGCUGAGUUAAAUGAACUGACCACUCUGACUAUAUUGCAAAGAAGGAUGAAAAGAGAGCUAGGGAGACCAGGUAGGUGAUUACUGCUAUGAUCUGAGCAAGGGCGAUGAGGAUCUUGAAUAAAGAUGUGGUCACUGAAACCAUUUGGAAAGUGGAUUCAAAUAAUAUAGGAAAGUAGAAUUGAUAGGAAUUGGAGAUCACUCAGAGUCUGGGAGUAAUCCCAUUUUUUGUUUUCUGCCAAUUAUAUCUAAGUAAUUUUUUUAUUUAAAAUAGGCAUGGAUCAUUUUGAGGUCAACUUAGUUGUGAAUGAUCCUUGCAACAAAGUCUUCUGUGAACUGAAUACUUUAUUCAAAAUAUGUAUACGUAGCCCAGAAUAAAUUGUUGCUUCUCCGGAGGCACUCUUGAAUGAAGUUUUAUAUAAAUUAAACAUUUCGUGAUGAUGAGCAAAACACACAUCAAAUUAAAACAUGCAACAAUAUUAAUUAAACAGAGGAAAGUUGUAAAUUGGUGUUGGCAUGCAUCUUCACUUUCAUUUAUUUUUAUGAAACUGCAUUAUUAAUGUUUCUUUUAAAAAUGAAUGAUGAAAUAGCAUUUUGUCAUUAAAAUAUGUGUGUCAAGCCUGCUGUCGUCAAAGAAGGUGAUUAUGCCACUGUUAUCAGAAACAAGCUGAGCCUGGAAGAGGCUUGUUUUGUCAGCUUCAUGUUUUGUUUUGUUUGUUUUUUUGAAUUAGCAGUAUGUAAUACUCAGAAAAAGGUGUUUUGUAUUUAUAUUUUUUGGCCUUUCAUUUGGUUGAAGUUGAAUAGCUUUUCUUAAAGAAUUAAAAACUUAAUUUCUUUACAACCAUUAAAGGAUAUUUGUCUUAAAAAAUC